GAAAUCCAAACAGCAGCAGCAGGCCUGAUCUGGCCCCAUAGAGCUUGCAGCCUCCUGGGAAAACAGGUUCAGAAACCAGAGAAUCACCAAGGCAAGCUUACUCAGGUGGUCUCAGCAUGAUGAUCCACUGUGCCGUGCUUCACUUUCAAACAUGUCUUCGUUUGGACAAGAGAUGAUACGUGCAUCUUAACUCUGGGGCACAAGGAAAAAUACUGGUAGCAUGACAAAUGUCCCCAAAGGUGCCCAUUGCUGGAGAUCCCGUGCCAAGCCCUCCAAGCAGCCCGACUUUCCGUGCAAUAAAGCAGCAGUGAGAAAGGCUCAGAGUAAUUAAGUGGCUGACGCACAGAAGAAGCCGUUACAAAGAAUUGACUAAAUUGCCCAUUCA